rnacentral:rRNA from 1 species
UACGGAGGGUGCAAGCGUUAUCCGGAUUUACUGGGUUUAAAGGGUGCGUAGGUGGGCAGGUAAGUCAGUGGUGAAAUCCCCGAGCUUAACUCGGGAACUGCCAUUGAUACUAUCUGUCUUGAAUAUCCUGGAGGUGAGCGGAAUAUGUCAUGUAGCGGUGAAAUGCUUAGAUAUGACAUAGAACACCCAUUGCGAAGGCAGCUCACUACGGGAUUAUUGACACUGAGGCACGAAAGCGUGGGGAUCAAACAGG